rnacentral:rRNA from 1 species
AGCGAACGCUGGCGGCAGGCUUAACACAUGCAAGUCGAGCGGGUCCUUCGGGGUCAGCGGCAGACGGGUGAGUAACGCGUGGGAACGUGCCCUUCGGUUCGGAAUAACUCAGGGAAACUUGAGCUAAUACCGGAUACGCCCUUAUGGGGAAAGGCUUGCUGCCGAAGGAUCGGCCCGCGUCUGAUUAGCUAGUUGGUGAGGUUAUGGCUCACCAAGGCGACGAUCAGUAGCUGGUCUGAGAGGAUGAUCAGCCACACUGGGACUGAGACACGGCCCAGACUCCUACGGGAGGCAGCAGUGGGGAAUAUUGGACAAUGGGGGCAACCCUGAUCCAGCCAUGCCGCGUGAGUGAUGACGGCCUUAGGGUUGUAAAGCUCUUUUCUCCGGGACGAUAAUGACGGUACCGGAGGAAUAAGCCCCGGCUAACUUCGUG